rnacentral:rRNA from 1 species
GACGAACGCUGGCGGCGUGCUUAACACAUGCAAGUCGAACGGAAAGGCCCUGCUUUUGUGGGGUGCUCGAGUGGCGAACGGGUGAGUAACACGUGAGUAACCUGCCCUUGACUUUGGGAUAACUUCAGGAAACUGGGGCUAAUACCGGAUAGGAGCUCCUGCUGCAUGGUGGGGGUUGGAAAGUUCCGGCGGUUGGGGAUGGACUCGCGGCUUAUCAGCUUGUUGGUGGGGUAGUGGCUUACCAAGGCUUUGACGGGUAGCCGGCCUGAGAGGGUGACCGGCCACAUUGGGACUGAGAUACGGCCCAGACUCCUACGGGAGGCAGCAGUGGGGAAUAUUGCACAAUGGGCGGAAGCCUGAUGCAGCAACGCCACGUGCGGGAUGACGGCCUUCGGGUUGUAACCCGCUUUCGCCUGUGACGAAGCGUGAGUGACGGUAAUGGGUAAAGAAGCACCGGCUAACUACGUG